rnacentral:rRNA from 1 species
UACGAAGGGUGCAAACGUUGCUCGGAAUCAUUGGGCGUAAAGCGCACGUAGGCGGCUUGUCAAGUCGGACGUGAAAUCCCUCAGCUCAACUGAGGACGUGCAUCCGAAACUGGCGAGCUUGAGUACUGAAGAGGAUCGCGGAAUUCCCGGUGUAGAGGUGAAAUUCGUAGAUAUCGGGAGGAACACCAGUGGCGAAGGCGGCGAUCUGGGCAGAUACUGACGCUGAGGUGCGAAAGCGUGGGGAUCAAACAGG